GGGGAAUAUUGGACAAUGGGCGCAAGCCUGAUCCAGCCAUGCCGCGUGUGUGAUGAAGGCCCUAGGGUUGUAAAGCUCUUUCAACGGUGAAGAUAAUGACGGUAACCGUAGAAGAAGCCCCGGCUAACUUCGUGCCAGCAGCCGCGGUAAUACGAAGGGGGCUAGCGUUGUUCGGAAUUACUGGGCGUAAAGCGCACGUAGGCGGAUUGGUCAGUUAGGGGUGAAAUCCCAGGGCUCAACCCUGGAACUGCCUUUAAUACUGCUAGUCUAGAGUUCGAGAGAGGUGAGUGGAAUUCCGAGUGUAGAGGUGAAAUUCGUAGAUAUUCGGAGGAACACCAGCGGCGAAGGCGGCUCACUGGCUCGAUACUGACGCUGAGGUGCGAAAGCGUGGGGAGCAAAC
rnacentral:rRNA from 1 species